rnacentral:lncRNA from 1 species
AGGCUGGAGUAGACAGGAACCACGAGAGGCAGGGAGGACUGUACAGGGGUUGCUGACCAGGUGGAAGAUGAUGGGAGCCUCAGAAGGUGUCGUGGGACAGGGUCAGGGAGAGGGCUCUAUGCGGCCAGGAUCUGGAUGCAGAUUGUUGAGACUGAAAUUUGGCUCAGAUCCCUUCUAGUUGUGUCUGUUUAUCUUCAGUUUCCUUGUCUAUAAAAUGGGGAGAGAUUGUGUGUCCCCGGCAUCACUGGACUGUUAAUAGCUAUUGCAUUUAUAGCAUUUAUCCCAGAACCUGAAACACAGUAAAUGCUCAGUAAGUGUUAUUAUUUGCCCCAAACUGUCUUAGUGCUUUCCCCAAGAGCUUUGUGUUGUUUGUACUAUGAGGAAUAAUGAGGGUGGUGUGGGAGUCGGCCUCUGUGUCUGCAGAGAGGACCACAGGCCACAGGAAUAGAGACAGGUAGAUAGGAUCAAGGUGACAGGAACAGAUGUUCAGAGCAAGAGAUGAAGACGGCAUCAUCAACCCAGACAAGCCAGUGCUUUCUGAGAAGCCCUCCAGAACCGCAGCAUUGGAAGCUUCAAGAUUUAGUCAUUCUUCUGGCAAACAUAUGUGGAAGGCCUCCGGGGUAGCACACCCUUCACCGUGCCCUGGAGAUGCUGGGAUGCGACAAAAAAGUAGGCUUCUCCCAUGAUGAACCUCACGGUUGGAGGCAUCUGUCCACCCAUGUGGUUCCAGACACGUUCAUGUGGCCACCAUGACCCCGUCGGCAUCACAGGGGUAACCAAGAGAGCAGCAAGUUCCUGGGACAGAGGAGACAGAAGGGAAUUUCCAGGUUCUUCAGGACGUUCACAACCACACUGAGAAGCAUCUUUGCAGAUAAGUAUUUAAACUUACCAGCCCAUAGCCUACCAGCCUGCCCUCUUCUGGUCUGUGCAGGAAAGUGUAGUAUCCUAGAAUGCCAAAGUGGGAGGGGAAAUGGGUGAUGUAGCUCAUUCUCUUUUCUACCUCUAUGGAAGAAAGAAAGAGCCUGUCCCCAUUUUGUGGGGUCCCAGAAAGGGUGAUUUUCACACUUCACAUUUGGCGUUAGGGCUAGUAUUUCACAAACAUUACCGUCUGGAACUUUUGAAGGCUGAGUUAAAUGACUUCAUCUUGUGUACUUGUAGAACUGCUAUUAGAAGGAGGCUGGGGACUCCCUGAUGAUGUGAACCAGCCCUUCUCUUCUCAGUUUCAGCACUUUGUGAUCAUAUUUAUAAACCUUGGACAGGGCUCCUUGGCCUUAGAGUUAAGUGAAGAGUUAACACUGUGACUUUAGAUGCAUUUUUCUCAGUGUAAGUGUCUGAGCUCAUCUCCAGUUCUGGACUCGUGCCCCCACUCCCGGGUGCUGACAGCAAGCUCUGAAGAUAUGCUGAGAGAGCUCCCUGACUCUCCUGACUCAGGUCUGCCAGUUGAUGAAGACAGCACAGUUGUUACCAAAAACAAAACCUGGCAGAUGGUCCUAGGUCAGGAUUAGUGGUCAUUCUCUGGUCUUCUCCAGACUGGUGACACAGGGUGGUCUUAAAAGAGUCCUAGUCCAGCCUCUGGCUCCCCGAAUUUCCUCUGGUGCAUGGGGCAUCAGGAAAGGGCAGGGGAGAAGGAGGGGGAGCAGAAAAAUAACUGAGGCUGGGCAGAAGGGUCCCUUCCAUUUCCCAUCCAUUGCUUCAAACAAUGGGUGAUUACCGUGCACCUUGAGUGAAUGUCAAGGCAGGAAGGGUUCCAGGGCCACCCAGUGUGGCAGGAGCAGAGCUGGGAUCAGAAUUCUGGAUUCCUGACUCUCCGUUCAGCUGCUAUUCAGCUAUCACCAAGCUGCUGAGUUUGUCCUACUUUCUCCUGGGUCACAUUCUGCUGUUGUUGGGAAACAGGGAGUGAGUGAAGGGAACCUGGGAACCCUUCUCCCCUCACCUUUUAAGGAUGUUCUGGGGUGGAAUAAAGAGAGGUGGAGGGUGGGGUGCCUGGGCCCAGCCUCCCUGGCUCCUGGUCCUUCUUUCUUCAGCAGGGAGUUCUGGCAAGGCCUGGGCCUGGGGAGGGGGCCUGGGUGCAGUUUUCUCCUGCGGUGUGGUUGGCUCUUUUGUCUUCCAGGAUGGGCCUGUGGGGUCUGUGUGGGGAAGGAAGGAGCUGGGAGCCUGGGCUGCCUGUGUGUCGGCUGGAUGCUGCCAGGUGGCUCCAUCUGGGCCGCAUCUCCAGGACUCCUGGCCUGGACUUCUCUUUGGACCUCGGGUGACCUUGGAUUCUGGCCACAGUGACUUAGCGGUCAGACUCCGGUGGUUUUCUAGCCCGCUGGGUGACUCCCUGAAGAUCUCAUCCUCUUCACACCUGUUGGGAUGGAGCCUCCCAUGGAUAGGAACUCUUCCUGGUUGAUGCUCAGCAGAUGACUGAUCUGGCUCUGGAGGACAGCUCCAGGGGUAUGAGGGAGGCCUGGCAGCCCACUACUCCCUCCUCACCUGCUCGGGCCCUGCCUGCUGGGCCCUAUUGUCUGGGUCUGGGGGCCCUUUCCUGCCCCAUGUGAACUUGAUUCCUCCUCGCGUUUCUGCCGGUGACCAGACAGAGCCUGGCCUGGGCCAAGUCCCCACUGACCACACUUUCCCCAAGGCUGGGUCUCAAAGGACCCUACAGGAUGGGGACAGGAACAAGGAUGGGAGUCGGGGAGGGGCUGUCAGGCAGAGGGCAGAUGCAGCUCCUCGGGUGCCGCUGGCUGGAGUCCUUUGUCUCCAUUUGCUCAGUGCGUAAUUGUCAUUUUGUGGGGGACUUCCUUGGUGGGGCUUUUCCAUGCUUUUCCUCUCCCUGAUGGUUACAAAGAGGAGACAGUCAGGAUCUGGGAGGAGCUGGAGCCUUCCCCCUGUGCUGUUGAACUCUGGGAGGGGCAGCCAGAGGGGCUGAGAGUGCACCAUCCUGAAAAGAGAGGGUCUUUAAGAGAUAAGAUUUAGGCUAGGGAAAUUCACUAGAAAGAGACAGGUGGCCCUGGGUUUUUUUUCCUGCCAUCCAAAGGGAACCAGUCUUACCCAAAGGCUUAAGGGGUCACCUUAGCCCAGUCUCAGGACACUCUUCUCCAAUCAGAUCGCUGCUUCUAGUUGCACUGCUCCUGGAUUCUGUUCUUGGGGAACAGAAGGUGGCAGGACAGGCCCCACAAUCUGCAAUUCCAGCUCCCUCCAGAGGAGACAGUCCCAGCGUUUGCAAGAGAGCAGCUUGUGGCCUCCCUUAGGCAAGUUUAAAAGCCAGAUGUCCUUUUUCCCAGAAUGCGGAGUGGUGUGUACUAUUCAUCAGCUUGGGCUGCCACAGCACCAUGCCAGACUGGAUGGCUUAAACAUCAGGAAUUUAUUUUCUGCCAGUUCUGGAGGCUGGAAAGUCCAGAUCAAGGUGUUAAGACUUGGUUUCUGGUGAGGCCUCUCUCCUUGGCUUGCAGGUGGCACCUUCUCACUAUGUCCUCACAUGGCCUUUUCUCUGUGGAGAGGGACAGAGAGCAUGAGCAGGCUCUGGUGUCUCCUCCUCUUCUUAUAAAGACACUAAUAUCACCAUAUUAGGGCUUAAACCUAUGACCUCAUUUAACCUUAACCCCUUAAAGGUCCCAUCUCCAAAAACAGUCACAUAGCAGGCUACUGCUUCAACAUAUGCAUUUGGGGGAGGGGACACCAUUCAGUUCUUAACAGGGUGGUCACCGCAAACAUGGAAAGUCAGAGCCUUCUCCCCUUCAGAAUUCCCGCCCCCACCCAGGGAUGGGGAGGAGGAGCAGAGAGGUAUGGGAAGCAGACACGGAGAGUGGCAGGUACCAUGCUGGGGUGGCUCAGGAGUGCUUCGGAGGACAUAUGGAACUGGCAGGGCUCAGUGCAGGGAGGCGGAGGCCCUGGGAGAGCCGUGUCCUGAGAAGGGCCUGGGCUACAACCCUGGGCAAGUUACUUCACCUCUGAGCCUCCGAUGCUCUGUGAAAUGGAAGGAAUGUGCUUGCCUGUCAGGUGCAGGGAGAAUUCAGUGAGAUUGUGUGCCUAGCACAGUGCCUGACUCCCAGUAGGUGCUCAGCAAAUGCUCCCAUCCAUCUGGGAGUAUAGACUUAGGGUUUAUCUAUUUUUUUUUUUUUUUGGCUCUCUGGACUUUAAAACUCAGCAUCUUCUGAACCAGAGGCAUUUCUGAUUAGCCCUUCCCUACCUAUUUUCCUAGUAUCACUCUUUAAUCAGCUUGGGGAGGUGGCAGCAUUUCAUGGCCUCCGUAGUAACUCACAAUGCUUCCUGGGGUAUUUAAAUUCUACUCUCUCAUCAGCACUGAGCACCUACUUUGGGCCCUUUCCCGUGCUAGCCAUUUGGGGGAAAUAUAGGUGAAGAGUGGCUGGGGUUUGAACCUUUAGGAUUUCACAGCCAUGCUGGAUGGGAUAAAACCAGCUCACAUGGAGAAUCAGAGAAUGGGACAGUGCCACAAAACAGUCUACUGAGGCACAAGUUCUGAGUGCCUGGGAAGUGGUAGAGAGACCCCAGAGAGGGCUGCUGCAGUCUGGAACAGCUUCCUAGCAAGCUGUACCAAACAGGGCCUUGAAGGAUGAGAAAGAUCUGGCUGAGAUGAUACCCGACCCUCUAGGGAAAUUCUUAAAGUAACUUCUAGGAAAUGUCAUUGCUCCUUAAAAAAAAAAAAAAAAAAAAAAAAGCAGGUUCUAAUUCAAAUUCCGCUGCACUACUGAAGUAGUGCAGGACUUAUCAGAACCUUUAAAAUGCUAAUGGCAAUUUCAAAUACUCAGGGACAGGGCAUAGGAUGAAGUGUUCCUUGACUUUUAUGGCCGUAGAAUCUUUUUCUCAUGGAACAUCGUUUAGAACUGUGGGAGAUGCUAGGCUGGGGUUUCUAUGGGAAAAGUACAGCAGUGAUAGAAGAUGGCAUAAUUAGGGUACACUUAGGUGCUUUGUAGCAUUGGCUGAAAAGGAAGCAGACCGGGUGGGCGUGGGGGAGUCUCAACUUGGUUCCAGGAGCCAGGCCAGCUUGAUGCGUUUUUUUUUUUUCUAAUGGUGGGAGGGCAGGCCAAUAGUUGGAGAAACUAGAGGCCUGACAGUCGGUGAUGGAAGAGAUGUCUACUAAGCACGGUUGUCAGAUCUUUUGCGGAGAGAUGCGGGUGUGCGUGUGUCUGUCAGAGUGUAACAGGAUCCAGCCCUCUGGGAAGGGGCUGACCAGAACCAGGCAGGGGGUUUCUGUCUAGGACAAGUAGGGUCCAUUUUCAGGGGAGCUGAAAUAUUUGCAGGGGGUGCUCUGAGACCCACAGCCAAUAAAUAGGGAAGCAACAUGCUUUUGGGCAGGGUCCAUGUGGUUAGGGUUGAUUUUGAUGGGGCUGGGGGGCUUAGAGUUAGACCCCCUGCCCUGGUCAGGCCCCACUCCCUGGCUGGUGGGGGCGGGAGGCCUCUGAAGCUGCAGCUGGAGGGGCCGGGGCAGUGUUGCAUGGUGUGAUUAACCUACUAACCCAGGGCUCAGCCGGGACGCUGUGGCGUGUGACGAGGUGCCUGGCCUUCUGCCAACCAACUAACCCACUAACCAGGCCCGAGCAUGCCCUACUAACCACCCCCCCGCAGCCAGAUCCUACUAACUGUGCAGCUCAUGGGCCUUUCAAGGGGCUGGGAUAUGGGGGCAGCCAAGGCUCCAGAAGGCUCUGCCUAUGGGCUGGGAUCUUUGUGCAGACCCACGUUCCAGGACAGAGAAUGCAAAUAAGACUCACCAACUCUGCCACUUCCUGUUGAGUGAGUUUGAGUAAGUCACCUCACUUCUCUCAACCUCAGUUUCCUCAGUGGUAGAAUGCGAGUUCUGAUACCUUACAGGUUGCAGUGAGGAUUCCCGUCAAUAUAAGGGUCUCAGCACAUGGCAGACACCUAAAAAAAAAAAAAGUAUGAGGAUGGAGGAAGGCCCCUCAAACCUGGUUGAACACGUCUGCUGCCUAGGCCCUGGCCUCUCUGGGUGUUCUGCACACAGAUCCUUCUGCCUGGGGCAAGACACUUGGCUUUGAAUCCAUGUCACUUCCCCACAUUCUUCCUCCGUCUCAGCUUUCUUUUCUGUAGGCAGCUCUUUUGUUCGAUUACUAACCCGUCUAACCCCUGGGGUGCCUCAACUGCACCCCGAUCAUCCCUUAACAAACUAACGGACCUGCGUGCGUUCUUCCUUUUCUCUUAGCGACUCCUGUGUGUGUCUGCUGAGGUGCCCUGUCCGCUGGUGCUGUGCUCUGACUUACUAACCCAGCCCCUACUAACCCUGUUUUCUCUUCUUACUAACCCCAGCCCUGCCGAGCUCUGGGCUCCCCCCGGGGGCUGGUCCCCCUCCUUUUGGCAAGCAGAUGACCUGGGGCUACUGGCCCUGUAGACAGAUGUCCCACUUUGCUGCCCCAUAUUGGCUGUAAGAUCAGAGUCCACUGGGCCAGGUCUAAGGCAGGGGAUGGCCCUAUUAACAAGACUCAGAGGAGGAAGAGGUGGUCCUGUGGAUGUGGGAGGCUGGACUCUGAGUAUGACAUCUCUCCUAUGUGCAGAAGUCUGGUUGCCACUGGGAGUAGGUGGGACCAGGGAAAUCUCUGGGACGUGAGUGUGGAGGCCUGUUGGUCUAGACUCUAGACUGUGGAGCUCUGAGCUUUUGUGUCCUCUGGAAGGAAGCUGGGGAAGAAUCCUCUCCAUUGUUAAGUGACGGGGAUAGAAGCUGUCCUGCACAGGAAGUCACGAGGGGGGCGUAUCCCACGAGGAAGGCAGGAGGGGGCGUGCCCCUCACCGGAAAUUAGCAGAGGGGCGUGUCCCACACCGGAAGUCAGAAAGCGGAGCCUUUCUUACACCGGAAGUCAAUGAAGCGGGUCUUUCCUACGCUAAAAACCACUGAGUGGAGUAUUUAGUACACAGGAAGUCGGCCAGAGAAACAUUUCUCAUAUUUGAAGGCCGGAAAGAGGGACAUUUCUGACACCGGAAGUCAGUGAGAGGACUCUUUCCCACACAGGAAGUCAGCUAGAGAGCCGUCUCCCCUCUCUGGAGCCGAGAGAGGCCGGUUUCCCCCACCGUAAGUAGACGUGGGGCCGUGACCGGAAGUCCUUGGGAAAGAUCCGUCCCAUUCCCGGAAGCUAGAGGGCGUUAGUUGUCGGGUUGAAAAGGGGUGUGGGGAGGGGAAGCAGCUUUACCCCGGGCUCGGAGUUUGCAGGAGAGAGAAGUGGGGAGCAAGAAGUGAACCUCAGGGGCUCACAGGGUUCCCGCAGAUGCUCAGGCCGGCCAGGAAUGCAUCUCUGGCUCUCUGUUCCCACGGACGUCACUGCCUCAGCCAGCCUCCCCCAGAGCCCGCCAGCCGCUAAGCCGGGGCCACACCUGGGGGUGAUUUCAUGCCUCACCUCCAGUAGGCACCUUGGUUUCUUUGGGCUAAUCUCUGGCUCCCUUGCGCUAACUCUUGCUCUCACCCAGCUAAUCCCUGCCUCACCCUGACUGCCCCAGGGGCUGACCACUAACAACCAACCUGGCCCUGUCUGGGGGUUCCAGGCUCCUGGCCUGGCCCUGACCGGUUCUUAAUUAACCUUUCCUUCACCUUGACUAACUCCUGCCUUCCUGGUCUGUUCCUUUCAGCAGAAACUAAUGGUUUGUGGAUUUUUUUCUGACUAACAACAGGUCUAACAUUCCUCGUUACUGUUAACAGCUUGGAUGUCGGCAUGGCUGGGAAGGGGCUAACACAGCUUUGAACUUGGCUAACACAGGUUUGAACUUGGCUAACACAGGUUUGAACUUGACUAACACAGGGAAAAGCAUAGCUAACAAUUUUGGGCGUGGUGGCUGCUCUGAGUCAGAACAAUCAGAAGUCGGUAAAGAUGGUAGUUUUCUAAAGGAGGUGCCAGGGCUCUGGUGUGGACCAGGCCUGAUGGAGCAGUGGUACCCACCAAGGUGGGGUCAGAAGUAUAGCCAGUCUUGCAAGGUUUUGGCCAUUGGGCAUAUCUUCACUCCUCAUAGUCUGCAUUUGGUUUCAGUUCUUAAAAAAAUAUAGCCUUAUAGCUACAGUAGUUUGCACAAGUAGAUGCAGCUCUUAUAAACCUUAAAAUACCUGUCUGGUGUCUACAGAGCAUAUGCCAUUUUGUAUAGAGUCACCCUUCCCCAGGCCAGGGCCUAGAGUCUUCAUUUUGGGGACUUUGUGUUUUGGAAGUUCUAGGACAUAAAGCUUUAGAUCAGAGUAUUCAGAAGGGUUAUAACUCCGUCAGUCAUUUACAUGUUAGUAGUAUAAAUUAUCUGAGCUUCCUGUUCUAACUUUUAGCUCUUCUAGCAUAAACUCUUCUGUGCAAUUUAGCUGCACCGAGGAAACGGGAGUUUUUCUGGAAGGGACUUUUGAUCUCUUUAGACUGAGGGAACGUCCUUUGGGAGUAGAGGGGCAGGGAGCAUACGCAAGGGAUUCCAGGUGCAGGUAAAAGGUGGCACUAGUUCAAGGUUUUGCUGACUCAGUCUGGUAGUCAGAGUCUGCAGGAGAAGACAGUUCAAGGCAGGGCCUGGAGGAUUGGAUCAGUUUAGGGACAGGUCAAAGGCUGGCUUACAGACCUUAGAGGCAGGUUGCUUGGGUCGUUGAAUGCUAGUCUGGUGCUGAGAGCCCUUUUCUCUGGCAACUGUGGACUCAGAGCUAACCAAUUGUAGUUGGCAGUGGGGGUGAAGGGUGAUCCAGAGGCCUGAGCUGCAGAGGGCACAAGAGAGAAAAGAUGUCUUAGAAAGAGCUUUGAGAACAUGCCUUGGCUGCUGGCAGGGACCUUGGAUGGGGUAGUCUACACCCGGAAGUGCCUGCCUGCCAUCCUCUAGUGGCUGCCUUGCUCCAUUUCACUCAAAGCAGGAAGCUCACACCUCCUAUUCCUGAAACUCCUCUUUGUUUAACUGCAAAGACUUGAUGCUGCUAAGGAUCUACUAUGUGCCAGGCACUGCUCUGGGCGCUGGGACCUGCACCUGGGCUUUUUCGUCAUGGUGCUUUUAUAGCCUAGUGGGAGAGUUGGUGAAGUAGAUAGUGAUUCAGUGAGAUGGGUGUUAUGAUUGGUCAGGGGUCUGUGGGAGCACCAAGGAGACAGACAAGAUUGAUGUGCACCUACUCUGUGCCAGGCGUGUGCCAGGCAUUGGGGAUGUAGUGGUAGUUAAACACCAUUUGGUCUUCAGGAGCUUUAAUUCUAGUGUGUUGGGUGCAGGGGGGUGGAAUGGGGACAGAGAGACACCUAAUCCACCCUGUGGUGGCUUUCUGGAGAGGGAGGCAUCUAAGCUGAGCUGUGGCUGGGUGGAGUGUGGGUGGGGAUGAGUUCCGGGCAGCGAGAGUGGUGGACACCAGUUUCUGGGGAUCAGAGAGGAUCCAAAGAGGUUCUGGAAGGUUCAUGUGGAAUGUAGCAAGAGAUAGGAGACAUGGACAUGGUGCCGGGUCUGGUUGCCAAGAAGUUUAGAUUUUAUCCUUAGGCCUUGGGGAGCGACGGAUAUGAUCUGAGAAAGGGAGUUAGUGGAUUUGAGUUUUAGGCUGGCCAUUUGGCUUUUCCAGCCCAGGUGGAACUCAGAGGAGUUUGCAAUGGCCUCUGGCCACAUUUUAGACAACUGAGCAGAACUUUUUGAAACUAGGAAGACCCUUUGGUCCAUCUUUUGAUAAACAGAAUCCAUACAUGUCUACCCCAGUUGGAAGUAUCUCUGCAAUGACUGGAAAGUAAAGAGGACCAAGGUGAAAAUAAAGGCUCGGAAGGGGAGCAAUCUUGAAAACAUGUCAUCCCAUGGUGGUGGGAAGUCCCUGGAGAAGAUCAGGGGAAACACAGUCAUAGGCUGCAAGUCUAUAAGAUAAUUCCAUUGGGGAGGGAGCCCAUUUGUCAUGCAUGGCUGCAAGGGGCAGAUACAAGUGUGGAGUAAGCUUGCAAGAGCUGAUCCUGGUCCCAGAGAGGGAAAAAUAUGCCUUGGUGGGUAAUGAACCUUUUGUUCCCAGAGGCAGAAGGAUUGGGACUAGGCCAACAUAGAGAUUGGCGAUGGUUGUGAGAUUCUAAGAGUGUGUGUGCAUCUUGACAAUAUUAGAGGAGGCUGAGCCCAAGCAGGCACAUUCUCUUCGACCCCUCCCUCAUUCAGUCUGCUUUGGAGUCUACUGAACAUCAAGCUUGCUAUGAGCAGGAUCUUAGAGCUGAGGAAUUGGCCUCCCAAUCCGAACAGGUGUUAUAAUCCUUUCUUAAUAGGUUGUGCUGUGGACCCAAUGUGAGGGCUGUGCUGGUGUAAAUGGUGACAUGUUGAGCUGGGGGGAUGCUUUCGGGGUGGGGGGACUGGUUCCAUUCCAUCAAAGGCCCUCUUGAGAGUCUAUCCAGGGACCCAUUGUUUUACUUUAACAGACCAGAAAAGAUGUUUGUUUUCCAUGUCAUUACCCCCAGGGGAUACCGAAUGUGUGGGUAGAAAUUUCUCUGUAGAUUAAAAAUCAGAUUUUUACAUGGAUUCAACAAAGGAGCGUCACUUGGAUUUUUGUUUUCAUCCAUGAAUGUAGCUGCUUCUGUGUAAAAUGCCAUUUUGCUAUUAAAAAUCAAUUCACGCUGGAAA